rnacentral:rRNA from 1 species
AUGACCGAUAGCGAACACGGUACCGUGAGGGAAAGGUGAAAAGCACCCCGACGAGGGGAGUGAAAGAGACCCUGAAACCGAAUGCCUACAAUCAGUCGGAGCCCGCAAGGGUGACGGCGUACCUUUUGCAUAAUGGGUCAGCGAGUUGGUCUUACGAGCAAGCUUAAGCCGAUGAGGUGUAGGCGCAGCGAAAGCGAGUCUGAACAGGGC